CCUACGGGAGGCAGCAGUGGGGAAUUUUGGACAAUGGGGGAAACCCUGAUCCAGCAAUGCCGCGUGAGUGAAGAAGGCCUUCGGGUUGUAAAGCUCUUUUGUCAGGGAAGAAACACCGGCUCUAACACAGUCCGGGAAUGACGGUACCUGAAGAAUAAGCACCGGCUAACUACGUGCCAGCAGCCGCGGUAAUACGUAGGGUGCAAGCGUUAAUCGGAAUUACUGGGCGUAAAGCGUGCGCAGGCGGUUAUACAAGACAGGCGUGAAAUCCCCGGGCUUAACCUGGGAAUGGCGCCUGUGACUGUAUAGCUAGAGUGUGUCAGAGGGGGGUAGAAUUCCACGUGUAGCAGUGAAAUGCGUAGAUAUGUGGAGGAAUACCAAUGGCGAAGGCAGCCCCCUGGGAUAACACUGACGCUCAUGCACGAAAGCGUGGGGAGCAAACAGGAUUAGAUACCCUGGUAGUCCACGCCCUAAACGAUGCUGACUAGUUGUUCGGGAUUUACAUCCUGAGUAACGUAGCUAACGCGUGAAGUCAGCCGCCUGGGGAGCACGGUCGCAAGAUUAAAACUCAAAGGAAUUGACGG
rnacentral:rRNA from 1 species